CGCCUUGCCAGCCCGCUCAGAAACUUAAUGAAUUGAGGGGGCCCGCACAAGCGGUGGAGCAUGUGGUUUAAUUCGAUGAUACGCGAGGAACCUUACCUGGGCUCAAAUGUAUGUUGACGUAUUCUGAAAGGGAUACUUCUUCGGACAAUAUACAAGGUGCUGCAUGGUUGUCGUCAGCUCGUGCCGUGAGGUGUCGGGUUAAGUCCCAUAACGAGCGCAACCCCUAUCAUUAGUUGCCAUCAGGUCAAGCUGGGGACUCUAAUGAAACUGCCUACGCAAGUAGUGAGGAAGGUGGGGAUGACGUCAAAUCAGCACGGCCCUUACGGCCUGGGCUACACACGUGCUACAAUGGUCGGUACAAAGGGUUGCCAAGCCGCGAGGUGGAGCUAAUCCCAUAAAACCGAUCGUAGUCCGGAUCGCAGUCUGCAACUCGACUGCGUGAAGUCGGAAUCGCUAGUAAUCGUGAAUCAGAAUGUCACGGUGAAUACGUUCCCGGGCCUU
rnacentral:rRNA from 1 species